rnacentral:lncRNA from 1 species
GGUCUACUCCGCUAUGAUCGGGUUGUAAUGAAAAGGGGAAAAUCAUGGAGCGGGGGGAGACAGGGAAACUCAGAUCGAAUUCGUUUUUUAAUAAAUACAUUUUUGGAACAAAAACUCCGUUAUGCUCUUCAAGGGAGCCGCGGGGGGGAUGCUUCUCAUGCUUUUCAAGCACUCCAGGGUUGGGCACAGCAAAUCAAGGGUUCCGGCAGAAACUGCGACUUUUUCGAAGAACUUCGCAGGUUUAUCCGAGAAAGCAACUAGCGCCCGUCCUUAAGGGAGAGAGAGGGAUCUUCAUUGGUCUGGCGGAACAGAGCUGGGCCUCACAUAGACUCAUCCCAACCUCAUUCACCUUGAAUUGUUGAGGCUG